rnacentral:rRNA from 1 species
AAUCAACGCUCGCGAUACACUUAACACAUGCAAGUCGAACGCAUAUACAUACGUGUAUAUGAGUGGCGCACGGGUGCGUAACACGUGAGAAUCUACCCAUAGUUUGUAACGAAAUGUUGCUGUAUCGUCUGUAUACAAGAUAUAUAUCGGCUAUGGAUGAGCUUGCGGGGUAUUAGGUUGUUGGUGUGGUAAUGGCGCACCAAGCCCGAGAUGCCUAGCCGGUUUGAGAGAAUGGUCGGCCACACUGGGACUGAGACACGGCCCAGACGCUUACGAGCGGCAGCAGUGGGGAAUCUUGGACAAUGGGCGCAAGCCUGAUCCAGUGAUAUCGCUUUGGGGAUGACGGCGACAUACGUUGUAAACCCUAUGCACUCUAUAUAGACUUGACCGUGUAGAGUGUCCAAGUCCCGGCUAAUUUCGUGCCAGCCGCCGCCGUAACAC